UGGUGGUUCAGUGGUAGAACUCUCACCUUCCACACAGGAGACCCGGGUUCGACUCCCGGCCA
rnacentral:tRNA from 1 species